UCCAAAGCAAAAUAUUUAAAAUUGUACAUUAGUAUGUUCUAUAUGUACUAGGUGGAAGACUGUAAAUGUAAAUAAUUCAAAGUGUUUACAGCUGCUGUCGACUUCAGUGUGUAUUGUGAUAUGCAGUUAUUUAGUAUGGUUGUUUAAACUUUACCGAUUUCAGAGUCAGUUUUUCAAAAUGGAUAAACAAGUUAUAUAUGCCAAAGUCCGAUUGUGUUCAAAUACUUCCCAGACCAAUUUAUUUCGUUUAUUGACAUAAAAUGUUUGUCCAUUAUUCAAGAUCUCGGCUCACAGAGACAGUUCGUGACAGCAGAAUCUCGGCUCACCUUGACGUACAUAAAUUUCGUAUCGGUUUCUCCCUCCCAGUGUUUACCGAUGUUAAAAGGGCCCUCUUUGAAUGUUAGUCAGGGGUUUUUGUGCCGACUCUAUUUUAAUCGAAUGACUGAAUUGUAUCUGAGCACCCCUAGCGAGGCACAACUCGCACGGCGGAUCGCAACGAUCACAACCGCGAGUAAACAAACAACCGUUUUUUAAACCGCUGCAGUUCGGUAAGUGUUCGUCCGUAUUUUCUUGAUUUUUAAAAAGCCGGAUUUUCGUCCGCGGGGGACAUCUGUGCUAUGUCCAAGUCCGACUCGCCGUGAAGUAUCCUGGCCCGGAACAGCUUAAGCAAUGGAAACAGGAAAAGCAGCGCGUUUUAUUGCAGAACCAAAUGGCCCAGCGGGAAUUGCUGAGCCAGUAACAGCAGAAAAUGUACGUCAUUCUGGGGCUGAAUCACGGGGGAGGGGAAAAUGACCCUAUACCGGAUGUUAGUCACGAGGACGA